CUCGUAACUCUCACCUUCAGUGAAGCACUCCUCCGGCUCAUUGCUCUCUUCAGCCUCUUCAGCCACCUCCUCUUCCUCGGGCUGAGAAGGAGAAGCAAAUCUCCAGACCUGCCCAUCCCAAAUGGGAGCAACCAGAUCUUGGAUGGGGUUCUCAUGGGGAAGAAUGAGUGCAGGAUGGUGUUGGCUUGCAUGGAAGGAAAUCGCCCUGCCCUGAGAUCACUGUCCCACGAGCCCUGACCUGAUGCAGUUGAUAUCAGUUGUCUCAUUUGCUUUGGAUCCAAGAUGCAUUGCUUCAUGUUCGCUCGUGCUAAGCCCCUCCAUCUGGUUCCGUGCCCUCCCUCCCCCACACUGCUUUUGGAGGCAUUAGCAGUAGAUCCAAUGUUAGUGCCAUCAGCAGAUUUCCUGGCAUCAAGUUGCUCUGGGACAUCUUUAACCCCAAAAGGAGUGCACUGACCCUGCAUUGCAGGCGUUGGCAAAAACCUCCACUUAGACCCCAAUCUCAUGCUAGGAAACAGAGAGCCAUUUCUUGCUGAAACACCCCAAGUUUGGUCCAUGGAGAAGCUAAAAGUCACCCCAGAUGGUGUCGUUCAGAGGCUGAAGCCCUGCAACCCACCUUGGCA